GGCAGUGUAGCUUAACGGCAAAGCGGUGCCCUCAUAAAGCACGGAUAGAGGUCCGACUCCUCUCAUUGCCA
rnacentral:tRNA from 1 species